GUAAGUUUCACAAUUGUCCUCUGUCAAGGUGCUUUAACCUGGAGAGUAGGCUUUUUUAUGUAGAAGACUCUAUGUGUAUUUUACAUCAGUUACUUUCCCCCUGUGCCAGCCAUAGCCUAUAGGGGAUCUUUCUUUGAUCAACAUUGUAACCUGAUAUGGUUUCAGGAGAGAAAGCCCAUGAAAGUAUGGGGGCUCCCCUAAGACUGUGAUCUCAGGAAUUCCUUACUCUGAAGCUGUUCCAUCCUUAUCGUCCAGCAAUUUAUAGUUAUCAUUUAAGUGUUUCUACCAGUUGUAGCUUCAGUGGCUUCUGCUCCAGGCUCAUAGACCGAGGACUGCCUUGUCUCAGAUGGGACUUUGGACCUGGACUUUUGGGUUAAUGCUGCAAUGAGGAAUCUCAUUCAACAACCAGGAAACAUUAUCAUCUGAGAAAAGAAGAGACAAGGAGUCUUCACCAUGCCUUUACAGACUUUUCAUCUGUCCUUAUAAAGACAGCUCUGAGAAGUCAUUGGGGGAUCCGGAUCUGCAUAAGACAAACUUUAUUCACAAUACAGUUCCACAUUUCCCCCACCUUUUCAUAAUUUGUCCACAAACUAUUGUUAGUCCUUCACUCCUAUUCAGUGUCCAAGAGAAUCAUUUACAAACCAUCUUCUGGACUCUGGGCCCAAUCAUUACUCACCACUUCCUUCUUCCAAGUGGAGACGGUAUUUAAGUAUCAAACAUCUGGCCCUCUUUUUGGAGUUUUUAAUAUUUUGUAUUACUCUCAUGCAUAUGUGUGCAUGCAAUAAAUAUGUUAUAGUUUUCUCUUGCUAACUUUUUGUUGUUGUUAUAGUGGUGUAAGCCAUAACCCUUUAUAAUGGGGAGGAAAGGGAUCACUUCUUUUCCACCUCUACAAAUUCUUGUUCAAAACACAUGUUCCCGUGAAUUUAAUAUGAAGAUGUAAGUCAUGCUUAAUCCAUAAUCUUACACUUAUCUGAAGAAUUCUCUUUAGAAAAAAAAUAUAGUCUAUAUUCAGAAAAAAAUAAGUGCAAUAACUGAUCAUGUAGCUAUAUUUAAAUCAUCUCUGCCACAAAUUAUUAGAGACACUAUUUUGCAUACAUAAACUAUGCUAUUCAGACAUCUCCAGAGACUCCAGACUGUGAAAAUAACUCCUUCUCUUAAGACUUAAUACAAAUUAUUUGAUUAUUCAUCCCUCAAAAGAAUGGAAACCCAGCUUUGCCCCUAAACUCUAGGUAUAUUACAGAGUUAAUUAUAGUUCUUGUUAUCUCUUGUUUUGAUGUUAUCUUCUUUCUAAAUUCUUCACAUCACCUGCCUUGUCUACCGGGGUUGGUACAGAUAAUUUUACAUUUACAUGUUAUUCAACAAAUAUGGAACAGAAUAGUGAAACACUUCUACAGAGUUUUACAAAACACUGUCAGUGUCAGGAAGGUAUUUUUUUGCAGCAGGAUAUUAAUGGAAGAUUUUUGUUAAUAGAGAAAUUAUAUGGAACAACAGAGCAGUAAGUACACCAUGCAUCUGUUUUCUUAAAGUGUUUUGCUACUCCUGAGUUUCCACAUCCAAAGUUUUUUAUGAAUUAACUUGAUCUUCAGACAAAUUGUCUGCCUCAUUGUUAUUUAGGACUUCUCAGAUCUCUUUCCUUUUUCCUCUUUUUUUUUUUUUUUUUUUCUUCCAGGAGGAUACAGAACUUCACCCUUUCUCUCUCUGGCUUCAUUCCCAAAAUUCAGAAUUGUAUUCAUUUUAUGGGAACCACUGGCUCACUAACCUGCACCAACCUCAAGAUCUCUAUUUCUUUAUCCAAAAAUAAAUUAAGGUAUUGUGAUAACAAAAAGGCCAACUAGGUCAGGCCUCAAAGCAUUUAGUUGUUCAAAAGAACUAGCAGAGCUUUUAACAUUUCGUUCUUUCCUUGACAAGAGCCAAUGUUAAAUAUGGGUUUUCUUUCCCUUUAUCUCUAUAAAAUGUAUUCUUUAUUUUAGAAGAACUUCCAUUCAGUCACCCACCUAUUCAAAAUAAUCAGCUAUAAUUAUUUUUGUCUUAAAUAGCAUUCUACUUAUUUUCAGCUACACUUACACAACGCAUAGUGUCAUCACUGCACGGCAUCAACUUCAAGAAAUGCUUGAAUAAAAUCUCAGGAGGAAACAAACAGUUUCUGGAGAAUGUCUACAUCAAUAAUAGAAAAAAAUCUGAAACAAAAUUAAGUACAAUUAAAUAAUUUAAAAGUCAUUUUUGAUCAAUACUGAAAAGAAAUGAAACAUAGAAAUACAAGAAAAACAACCAUGUGUGAAUCCCAGAAUAUUAUUUAGACUAAAGUAUGGUUCACAUAUAUUUAUAUAUAUAAUGGUCUACUAUGAGAUCAAUGAGGUGCUCACAAUUUCUCAGAAAUGUUUUCAGUUGUCCAUUCCAUGUUUCUUCAAACACAGUGUCAGAAUUGUUAAAUGUAUACCUUUCAUACUUGGUCUCAUUUUAAAUCAGUAAAAGUAUUGUCUAGAUCUUCAAGGUUUGAUUCCAUAUGUAUUUUGCUGUGAAAAUUGCUCCAUUCAUUUAGAUAAUGUGACAUCAAAUUAUAAGCUCUAAGCAGCUGUCACUCUUUGCCAGACACUCGGAAAUCCUGAUGAGAACUGGCAUGCCAUUUAUCUCACAAUUCAGUGUCAACAGUAAUAAAAUCUAUGGGCUUAAUACAUUAACAGUUUCAAGGAGUAUCUGAGUUAAAAUGAAAACUUAAAAGUAUUUUAGUGCAUCAAAAUAACUGUGUACAGCUGAUACUGGUAUUGGUGAUAUAUUAGUUUGCAACUGAGAAAAUGUAAAGCACUUUGUGAAAAUAAAUAUUGUAUUAAAAAAGGGAUAUUUUUUCAAAUGACUCAAAUGUAUAAUAAAUAAAAAUUACACAUUAUAUUUAUGAAAACAACUAAGCCUUUAAGCUAACUUCUUUUAUUUGCUUAAUGCCUUAAAAUACACAGAUUAUUCAUGUAUACGUUUCACUUGAUGAUCCACAGGUCUCUUGGAAAUCACAGGCAUAUCCUCACUUUACCAAUUGAGAUAUUGGGUCUUGGGGCAUGAAAUAACUUCUUCAGAUUCUCCUAGUUGGCAUGUGUCAAUCCUUAAAAUAAAAUAUAGAAAAUAUUUCUUUUUUGUCCAAUUUUCUAGAUUUGUAUUUUACUAUGUCUCUUGCUUCUUCCUUUUAAUUCGUACUAUUUUAGAAGUCUUUCAUACAGAUUCAGAAUUGCAACUUAAUUUUCAUUUUAACACAUAAUAAAGAACUAUAAAGUAAACAAAAAUCAUAAAUUUCCAUGUCAUGGU
rnacentral:lncRNA from 10 species